CAAUAUAAUAUUACAUUCUCAAUUGUCUCAGUUGACCCAGACUCCUACUUCUGUAUAUGUUCACUCUGCUGUAUUGUAACCCAACACAACGGAACCUAGAAACUGAGCUUGACCUUGCGCCCGCGCUAAUAAUCAAGAAUAAUUGAAUAUGGUCCAUGAUUGAAUGAUCUUAAACAAUUUUUGAUUAGGUAUUCAUUAUCUGGUUGUAAAUUGCUGCUGUUGUAUCUCCAAAACCACUACUUCACAGAAAGUUGAACACUGCCAAAGACCAGACCAUCCCCUGUUUUAUGUUUGCUCUGUCUGUCCUCUUCAAUUUCAUCUGUGACUCUUUCAUUAAGUAACGCUGUGCCUUUGACCUCAUUUGGUGAGUCUGCUGUGUUUCCACCUCUCUUUACUUUGCUUUGCCGACUUGUCAGCCAUUGACCAAAAGUCUCUAAGUUUUGUGCUCACCUGAUAAAUGCAAAGUCAAAAUAUCCUCAAUAUUGGUACUAGUUUUUUGCCGAACUCAAAAUGUCGAACUCAAAAAAAAACAAAAAAUACACUGGGGGAAAAAACAAGAGGAGACACUGGAGACGGACACAUCGACAUCGACAUCGACAUCCAUUCACACACAAUGAACCACAAGGAACAGGGGAAGGCAGGGACUAUAUAUGCACACAGGGAAAUGAGCAACGAGAGGCAGGUGAGACACUGAGACACAGGUGCAGACAAUUACAAAGGAGGGGAAACUGAAGAAGUAAAAUAAGACUAGAAACACAAGGAUGAGCUACUACAAAAUAAAACAGGGAGAACUGAAACUGAUUAACAGAAUGAAACACUGAAAACAUGAGGGAAACGGGGUCAGACACAAACUAAAAACUCACAAGACAGGACGACAGGGAAACAGGAACAAUAGGUAACAGAAACACGAGGGAAAAUACAAAGAAAACACACUCCAGGGAAACACAAAACCAGGGAAAAAAACUAAAUAAACAGAACAUAUCAUGACACAAAUUGCUUUUUGCAGAUUGAAAUAAUGUGGCGUGUGGAUUCAGGUAUAUUGACUGACGUUUUUGAAUACCCAUGCAAAGAUUACACAAGAGCUGUUUUUACCACUUGAUGUCAAAGAUUAAUGAAACUAGAGCAUGUAGAUUUAGCAGUGAAACACUAAAGUCUUACUUCAAAAGUGAUUUGUUUAGAGACAAAGAAGUUUAUAAUGUUUAUUGUCGAUGUUACAGCAAGCUCUUCAGUUUUAGUUGUUGAUGUAAUCACAGUUCUUACGGUCAGACAUUGCUGAUUCAGGUUGGGAUCUGCAUAAAAUGUAACAAGAAAUAUUCAUCUCACAUGAGACAGAUCAAUACCUCUAUGAUUCACCUGGUGAUAAUUGAAGUUAUGAGAAAAGCUCAACAGCUUGGCCAACUCUGUAGCAGAAUAAAAACAUUGGGUACUCAGUUAUGCUUCCAAUCUUCUUGUGUUUUCUUUUUACCGCCCAGCUGUCUUUGCUGAUUGAUGAAUAGCUGCUCUCGCUCAUGUUUUCAUCAGGGGAAGCACCAAAAGGCAGAUUGCCAAGUUGAUGAGAGUUUCUCCUUGGUGGCCAAGGAAAGGUGUGUACAGGAGGAUUUUCUGGCCCAUCUCUUCUCUGAAUCCUGGAGUUUUUGGGGUUAAGUGUUAAGGUCCAUUUUGGCUGAAAUUGCUUGAGCUUUUGACCAAAUUUUUGCAGGUCGAAUCAGAAGGUCCAAUCCAAUGAAAGUGCUCUGUGAGAGGAAGCUUUGGAUAACAGUUUGAAGCAAAAGCAACUUUUUGGAUCUGUUUGAGUGUAGCGCUCAAAUACAACGGUAUGCACAGCGUGGAGGCUCCUUUGCAGCUAUGGUGCUUCAAGUAGCAGGACAAUAAAUUGAACCAUGAAAAGAAAAAUUCCGUCAUCGGUCAUGGGACAGCUGGAUCAUUUGUGGGAUCCAGUCUUGCAUAGAAAAAGCAGCCGUCUUUCAGCGGUCUUCUUUUGAAUGGAGCCAGUCUGGUGAGGGAGCAGGAGUGCCAAUGCAGUGGGCUACAGCAAAAGAAAAAAAAAAUCUGGGUUAGCCACCCAAAAAAUGGUGUGCGGCUCAGCAUUUGCUCAAUGGCAACAUGAUGUCAUCUGGAGAGACUCUGCUGUGGCUGAUCAAAUCCACGGAGGCACAUAUUCCUGGUGGCUUUUAUUACACUGUUUAAUUUGCAACCACUGAGGCAAGAUGAUAAAUUGUCUCUGUAAUAUAUUUCCAAAAGUGUACACCCUGAGUCAUAGUAACCUACUCUACAGCCAAAACACAAGAUUUUCUGCUGUUCUUGCUUUUUUUACGUCAUCGUGAUCUUCAUUUAUUUUAAGCAACAGAAAGUCAAAAACCUUUGAGGUUUCAAGUACCAUUUAACUCUGUUUAACAGACCAGCAUACAUAUUGAUUAUAUAGUUGACUUGCUUCCAUUACUGCACGGUUGAAUUCUCUAAGCUCAUCCUAUAAUCCCAUCUGUUAUUGCCUGAACACAAUACACCAAAUCCUCUUCUUCAGGACACCUGCAGCCUCAUGUUAUCUCCGUUUCUAGACAACUAGAUUUGGGAAGCAGAAAUGCAUUUGUGUCUUUUUAUAUCGCGAAGACAACGGCUUGAGUAUCACAGAUGAAUAAUAGAUGUUUUCCUCAACCUCAGAUGAUCGAGGGAAGCUUUUGUGUGCUCUAAAACCUUCCUAAACCAGAUUGAGUUUGGUCAAUUAAAAGCUUUUUCUUUGUACUAGCAGGUAGGAACACUGCUUCACCCCAAACCACUCACUGCAUGAAUUGGACUAACUGAGUGAGACCCUUUUUAAGGUUGCGCUUCUAUCUUUAGUUUGCUUUUUAUCUGUACAAAUAGCAAAUGAUUUUCUAAAGUGUAGCCUGAAAUAUGAAUCUAAUACUCUGCCUCAGUUAUUUACCUUGGACUUUUCAGGGUUUAGGCAUCAUUAAAGGUGAUUUUAUGACACUUGUUUAGAUCAUAUGCCCUCCUGCACUCUGCUGUCUUAUUAUGAGCCAGUCCUGCUGUGUAUUGAUUUACUGAGUGAUGUGAUAAUUACCCUAUAGCUCGCUUUUAGUCUGCCUCCUCAUGUGAAAAAGAUUAUGAUAGGAGUGUACAGCAUGUACAGAGCUGGAGUUUUUUGCGUUGCAGCUCUGACCUCUCCGUUCCCUGAAAGGAAACCGUGAGCUGAGCACAGCGGGGGGACGUGCAGCAUGAUAACAACUUCCCCCCCUAUAGGCUCUGAGUCUACACGUGUGAGCUGAGGCGAGGGGCUCCUGAAAUCCUCAACGGCUAAGACACAUUAUCAGACAUGCACGUAGCAAAAAUUAUUAUCCAGCGAAUGAAAUGUGGAGGAUUUGCAGGCCCAGAGAGCUGCUUCAGCUUAGAAGAUUAGUAAUCAUGUAUUUCUUGUCAGCUCCCCUGGAUUAUCCCUCCUCUCUUGUUAUCAUAUUUAUUUUAUUAUGGGCAUUUCAUUAAUGGCACAGCUCAGUCAUAAAUCCUGCAUCCUCUAAUAUAUGUUACUCUCAAUCAUCUCAGGUGCCUCAGCUGUAAAUGCUACCAAGUCAAAACUGUUAUUUCUUGGUUUUAGAGGAUCAAACACUUUCAAACAAAUCUCUGUUUGAUGAUUUAAACAGCAAAGUAGUGGUGCAAAAGCUGCACCUCUCUGAUAGAGAAAAAAUGGAGAUCUUAUGUUCUCUUUAGGUGUUGCCAGAGUCAAAGGUAAAGCUUUGUCGGUCUCCUCCUUUUCCCCAGCUGACAAGGAGGCUAGAAGAAGUGUGACCUUUUAACCUCUCGGUCUGUUCACAUAGAAAAAAGGCAGAAUGGGAAGCUGGUUUCCUUGCCGUCAAUUCAAAAGGUCCCAUUUCCUUCACAGCGGCGUGCGACUGAUGUUCACUUCAAUGCGGAGGGCCCUGCUUGACACAUACUCAGAAUAGAAGACGAAGAUUUACAGAUAGGGAUACCAUUCUGUGA